rnacentral:rRNA from 1 species
GGAUUAGAUACCCUGGUAGUCCACGCCGUAAACGAUGAGAACUAGUCGUCGGGAGGGUUUGCCACUCGGUGACGCAGCUAACGCAUUAAGUUCUCCGCCUGGGGAGUACGCCGGCAACGGUAAAACUCAAAGUAAUUGACGGGGGCCCGCACAAGCGGUGGAGCAUGUGGUUUAAUUCGAUGCAACGCGAAGAACCUUACCUGGCCUUGACAUCCUCGGAACUUAGCAGAGAUGCUUUGGUGCCUUCGGGAACCGAGUGACAGGUGCUGCAUGGCUGUCGUCAGCUCGUGCCG